UGAGAAACCCUUCUCUAGCUAUGGGGGAGAAACAGAUUCAAAGACAUUGGUGGGUCGUGCUUGUGAAUGCAGAAGAAUUAGAUGAGUUCUCGAACAACUGCGGACAUCUCCUUCAAGCCAUUGGUACUGCAGACGGUUCCAUAGUUUUCAGUAGUCCAAAGUUGCAGUUCCAAAAUACCCGUAGUAAGAGUUAAUAUUGGGAGGAUUGGCGACCGACUUUCGUGUUUCUAAAAUUGCUGUUCCCUCCAUUGAUAGUAUUUAUGUUGUCUUGUUUGUGUUCUUUGAUGUUCCUGUUUGUAAAUGGCGGAGGCCUGUCUGUUUGUUUGUAAGCAGCUGUAUCAUUGUGUUGGUAAAACGGCUGUGAACCUAUCGUGUUCUUUUUUGUUCAAUGAGCUUAUAUACUUAAUUUACGUGAAAAGGGCGGAUUCAGUUUAUGUUUUUGUACCAUAAUAAUAAUAAUAAUAA
rnacentral:lncRNA from 1 species